rnacentral:tRNA from 1 species
CAGAGAAUAGUUUAAUUAAAAUUCUGGCUUUGGGAGCCAGUGAUGGGAGUUGAAGUCUCUCUUUUCUGG